ACUUUCUGGGGACGUGUUGUGUUGCUCAACAAGGAAACCGGAACUUACAGUUUAAAGCUUUUUUUUUUGCGUCAGUUGAGUUUCACAACUCAUCCACGAAGUUUGCAGGACUAUUUUUUGAACGCGCUCACGGUAAACACUGUGCUUCGGGACCUUUUGGAUGAAGAAAGAAUGUCAUACAGGUUUGGAAUGACAUGAGCGAAAUUGUCAGAACAUGAUGGAUGUGGAUCAUCACACUUUACAGAAGACUGGGGUGAAGUUUACUGACAUUUAAAAAAAGCU